rnacentral:tRNA from 1 species
GGCUGAGUAGCUCAGUUGGCAGAGCAGGAGGAUCAUAACCUCUUGGUUGUGGGUUCAAAUCCCUCCUCAGCCA